ensembl:lncRNA
GCGCGCGCACACACACACACACACACACACACACACACACACACACACACACACACACACACACACACACACACACACACACACACACACACACUCAAACACACACACACAAACAUAUACACAUGUACACACAUACUCAAACACACACACACACACACACACACACACACACACACACACACACACACACACACACGUUCACACACACACACACACAACACACACACAUACACACACACACACACAUACACAUGAACACACACACACAUAGACACACACACACACAACAUACAUACACGCACACACAAACGCACACAUAUACACAUACACAUACAUACACAUACUCAAACACACACACACAAACAUAUACACAUGUACACACACACACACUGAGAGGACUGAUGACUCUGUCUCUGUGGCAAUUAUAGUCUCUCUCACAAACACGCACACACACACAUAAACACACACAUACAUAAAAAAAACAUACACAUACACACUGUGGCAGUUAUAGUCUCUCUCUCUCUCUCUCUCUCUCUCUCUCUCUCUCUCUCUCUCUCUCUCUCUCUCCUUUAAAGUAUAACAUGAUAAACCAUGAAAAUACUUUUAAGAUCUCCCAUAGUUAGAUAAGCACAUUUAUUAUUUGAAAUGUAUAUAAAAUACCUAUUGAUGGUAAAUGUUUGUAUAUUUUCAGACUUCACCAGUUUUGGUCUUAAGGGCUCUGAUAUCAUCAUAUUUGUCAUAAUCCUGAUUUACAACCUGAUUUAAUGCAGAUUUUAUGUUUUAAUCAUAAUAACCAAGAGGUCUGUGGGAUAAUGUUGCAUGUUGUAUAUUACUUUAAACUGAAUCUUGAUAUUUUGUGUUCUGUUGGGAAUCAAGCGGCCGCAGAACAUGUUCAGUUAUUAAAGAUACGUGCAGACCUGUUGAUGAUUUGUAAAGUCUGCUGCUUCUAUUGUUUUAGUCCUUUGUUUUAGUGUUUAUUGUGUACAUGUGAGGGACUAUUUUUCUGUCUUAUUUGUUAAUGAAGCAUAAUUGCAAUAAACAACUCAGUGGAUCCAACUGAAUGUUCUCGUGUGUUCAGCCGAUGAUUUCUCGUUUUAUUAAUGAACAAUAAGUCCAUAAGUGCCUUAAGAAAAGUUAAUAAUCGAACAACAAAUGUUUUUCUGAUAUUAUUCUUGGACCUCC